rnacentral:tRNA from 2 species
GCCCCCUUAGCUCAGGGGAUAGAGCAACGGCCUCCGGAGCCGUGUGCGCAGGUUCGAAUCCUGCAGGGGGCACCA